rfam:Fistulina hepatica ATCC 64428 unplaced genomic scaffold FISHEscaffold_354, whole genome shotgun sequence.
GGCGACUUGGCCGAGUGGUUAUGGCGCUGGAAUUAGGAUUUCUGAUAUCCAGUUCUUCGGAGCGUGGGUUCGAACCCCACAGUCGUCA